rnacentral:rRNA from 1 species
CCAGACUCCUACGGGAGGCAGCAGUGGGGAAUAUUGCACAAUGGGGGAAACCCUGAUGCAGCGACGCCGCGUGAAGGAAGAAGUAUUUCGGUAUGUAAACUUCUAUCAGCAGGGAAGAUAAUGACGGUACCUGACUAAGAAGCCCCGGCUAACUACGUGCCAGCAGCCGCGGUAAUACGUAGGGGGCAAGCGUUAUCCGGAUUUACUGGGUGUAAAGGGAGCGUAGACGGCUGCGCAAGUCUGAAGUGAAAGCCCGGGGCUCAACCCCGGGACUGCUUUGGAAACUGUGUAGCUAGAGUGCUGGAGAGGCAAGCGGAAUUCCUAGUGUAGCGGUGAAAUGCGUAGAUAUUAGGAAGAACACCAGUGGCGAAGGCGGCUUGCUGGACAGUAACUGACGCUGAGGCACGAAAGCGUGGGUAUCGAACAGGAUUAGAUACCCGAGUA